rnacentral:rRNA from 1 species
AUGCGUGCAGGCAUAGAGGAGGUCUUUCCGUUGGCAGUGCACAGGAACUGCAGGUGGCAUAUUAUUAAGAAGGCUGAGGAGACGCUAGGACCAUUCUUUGCUGACCGUCUAGAGCUGCACAAGGCAUUCGAGUUGUGCGUGGACCACAGCUUGACGGUGGAGGAGUUUGAACAGAGCUGGACAGCUAUGAUUGAAACAUAUCAAGUCCAAGACAACGAGACACUUACUAGCCUGUGGGAGAAGUGAAUGUACUGGGUGCCGGCCUACUUCAUGCAGUGCUUCUUCCCAUUUAUGCAGACUACACAGCGCAGCGAGGGGUUCAAUGUUGUUUUGAAGUGGUACGUGAGCCCUGGCAACUCAUUGCUGCAGUUUGCCAAGCAAUACACAGCUUUGCAACAGAAAAUACUUGGAUCUGAGCUACAGCAAGAAGCAAACACCGCGCUCAAGCAGCCUAAAUUGCUAACAUAUUUACCAAUGGAGAGGCAGAUGAGCAAGACAUAUACCAACAAGAUUUUUAACAAGUAA